AAACCGGAGAGGAAGCCAGCUUGGUCUUGCUCUCUGCCUCGUCCCAAUCCCCGGCUCUUACCAAAUGCAGAUCCGUUGGCUGAAUGCCUUUUAGUCUGCAUACAUGCAUCUCAUACCGCACAGCCCAAAUUUCUACAACUUGUCCAGGUGCAGUCUCCUCAGAACUACAAAGCAAGAAAAGAUCACCUUUGGGCUCAGGAACUCACAGUCGUUCUCCCUCUCCUGGAAGGCACAAUGACCAGGACAGUACCGAGCUUUGCAGCCAUAUUGAACUCACCAUCAACUCAGCACAUUCAACUCAAUCAGUCAAAAUCACCUUUUCCUGCUGGUAAAUAACACUGAAAUUGUGGGAAGAUGGGAUGGUAAGAACAAAGUCUGUCUCUGGAAGCACGGGUGCUGUCUCUGAAGACAAAUUGAUCGUAACACAAGCAGACCCGGUGGAACGACCUCCAUGCUGAACCCUCAGCUCCCCCUGCAUUUGGACCAUGGCCUGAUGGAAGGUGCGAGAAACCCUGUGACCACGUUACAGCACAGGGGCAGCUUGGCCAGGCCACCCCUUGGGCCUAAUUUUUCUCCCUGGCCAAAGGGGUCAGACUAUUCCAGUGCUGUCUGCUCCCUGGCCUCCAGAGUAAUCAAACACACAUGUUUGGCGCUCCACUAAUCAGGGAAUGAAAUAAAGCUAGAUGUUUCCAUAUGUUGAUUCAAUUUACAAGCAAAUGUAAGUGUCAGGUAGGGGGCACAACAGUAAGGGGUGAGCAGUGAAGAAAUGGUUCCACAAUGACGUUUCGUAAGGAGCAAAAAGAUGAGGAAGAAAAGGGGAGACACAUCUUUGAAGGCCAGGCCCUGUGACAA
rnacentral:lncRNA from 1 species